UACGAAGGGGGCUAGCGUUGCUCGGAAUCACUGGGCGUAAAGCGCACGUAGGCGGACUCUUAAGUCGGUGGUGAAAUCCUGGAGCUCAACUCCAGAACUGCCUUCGAUACUGAGAGUCUCGAGUCCGGGAGAGGUGAGUGGAACUGCGAGUGUAGAGGUGAAAUUCGUAGAUAUUCGCAAGAACACCAGUGGCGAAGGCGGCCACCUAGCCCGCACCUGACGCUGAGGCGCGACAGCGUGGGGAGCGAACUGG
rnacentral:rRNA from 1 species